rnacentral:rRNA from 1 species
AACGAACGCUGGCGGCAUGCCUAACACAUGCAAGUCGAACGCCCUCUUCGGAGGGAGUGGCGCACGGGUGCGUAACGCGUGGGAACCUGCCCUUAGGUUCGGAAUAACUCAGAGAAAUUUGAGUUAAUACCGGAUAAUGUCUUCGGACCAAAGAUUUAUCGCCUUUGGAUGGGCCCGCGUUGGAUUAGCUAGUUGGUGGGGUAAAGGCCUACCAAGGCGACGAUCCAUAGCUGGUCUGAGAGGAUGAUCAGCCACACUGGGACUGAGACACGGCCCAGACUCCUACGGGAGGUAGCAGUGGGGAAUAUUGGACAAUGGGCGAAAGCCUGAUCCAGCAAUGCCGCGUGAGUGAUGAAGGCCUUAGGGUUGUAAAGCUCUUUUACUGGGGAUGAUAAUGACAGUACCCAGAGAAUAAGCUCCGGCUAACUCCGUGCCAGCAGCCGCGGUAAU